GACGAACGCUGGCGGCGUGCUUAACACAUGCAAGUCGAACGGUAAGGCCCUGUCUGGGGUACACGAGCGGCGAACGGGCGAGUAACACGUGCGUAACCUGCCCACAACUUUGGGAGAACGCUAGGAAACUGGCGCGAAUACUGGAUAUGUGCUCCUUCUGCAUGGAGGGGGUUGGAAAGCUCCGGCGGGUGUGGAUGGACUGGCGGCCUAUCUGCUUGUUGGUGGGGGUGUGGGCUACCAAGGCGGGGACGGGGAGGCGGCCUGGGAGGGUGACCGGCCACAUUGGGACUGAGAUACGGCCCCGGCUCCUACGGGAGGCCGCCGGGGGGAAUAUUGCACAAUGGGCGCGAGCCUGGUGCAGCAACGCCGCGGGCGGGAGGACGGCCUUCGGGUUGUAAACCGCUUUCAGCAGGGACGAAGCUUUUUGUGACGGUACCUGCAGAAGAAGCACCGGCUAACUACGUG
rnacentral:rRNA from 1 species